GGAAGUAAAAGUCGUAACAAAGUUUCCGUAGGUGAACCUGCGGAAGGAUCAUUAAAGUUAUAGUCCCCCGGCCCUCUGGGCUGGGGUCUUCUAUACCACCCUUUGUUUAUUACACCCUUGUUGCUUUGGCAGGCCUGCCCUCGGGCUGCUGGCUCCGGCCGGCUCGCGUCUGCCAGAGGACCUAAACUCUGUUUGUAUAUGAAGUCUGAGUACUAUAUAAUAGUUAAAACUUUCAACAACGGAUCUCUUGGUUCUG
rnacentral:misc_RNA from 1 species